AUUGAACGCUGGCGGCAGGCCUAACACAUGCAAGUCGAACGGUAACAGGAAACAGCUUGCUGUUUCGCUGACGAGUGGCGGACGGGUGAGUAAUGUCUGGGAAACUGCCUGAUGGAGGGGGAUAACUACUGGAAACGGUAGCUAAUACCGCAUAACGUCGCAAGACCAAAGAGGGGGACCUUCGGGCCUCUUGCCCUCGGAUGUGCCCAGAUGGGAUUAGCUAGUAGGUGGGGUAACGGCUCACCUAGGCGACGAUCCCUAGCUGGUCUGAGAGGAUGACCAGACACACUGGAACUGAGACACGGUCCAGACGCCUACGGGAGGCAGCAGUGGGGAAUAUUGCACAAUGGGCGCAAGCCUGAUGCAGCCAUGCCGCGUGUAUGAAGAAGGCCUUCGGGUUGUAAAGUACUUUCAGCGGGGAUGAAGGGAGUAAAGUUAAUACCUUUGCUCAUUGACGUUACCCGCAGAAGAAGCACCGGCUAACUCCGUG
rnacentral:rRNA from 1 species